GGGUGGGUCAGCUCAGUGGUUAGAGCGUAGAUCUCGUAACCGAAAGGUCGCGGGAUCGAAUCCCGCUCUAAGCU
rnacentral:tRNA from 1 species